GACAUUUUUCUCAUUCCACCUUAAUUAUAUAAGACACCAAAGUAUCAAAAGACAUUUUGGUUAUUUUUCUUCUUCUCCACAAUAAUCUACUAAUAUUUGAUGCUGCAAAGUUCCCUACAUUUAACUCUUAACAUAAUCAAAUAUUUCACGAGUACACCAUAUCUGCAAGCUACCGUAUUUUCUUAAAUUUUAAGAGCAAACCAACUAAAAGGAGAAAGGAAUGACAUCAAUAACUAACUAACACUGGAAGGAACAGUGACUAAUUUUGAAGCAACAAUAUCUUCUCUGACUCAACGAUAGCUGCGGUAUGCUGGGCUGUACAUGCAGCUCUCUGCAUAUGCGACUAGGUCCUUGGGCUGUGGUAGACGAGUGGCCAAACCUAAUUCAUAUGCUUUAGCUGCCACUUUGGCAGCAAUAUGCGCUGAAAUCUUUCUUAUGUUGGAAAAUGGCGGGUAUAUGAGUCCCUUUUCAAAGUUCUCUUGAGAAACUUGCUCCGCUAAAGCUUCCGAGGCUACCAGGAGCAUGUCAUCGUGGACACGAAUUGCACCAGAGAUUAUCAGUCCUAGACCAAACCCAGGGAAAAUAUAUGCAUUAUUUGCCUGGCCAGACGCAUAGACCUUCCCAUUGUACUCAACUGGAGCAAAUGGACUCCCACUAGCAAAAAUGGCUCGCCCCUCACUCCAGCUAUAAGCCUCCUCAGCAGUACAUUCAGACUGUGAUGUUGGAUUGGAGAGGGCAAAAAUAAUUGGUUUCUCAUUGAAGGUUGCCAUAGCUUGUACAACUUCUUUAGUAAACGUUCUCCCAGCUCCAGAAGAUCCAAUCAAGACCGUAGGCUUAAUUGACUUCACGGCAUUCACUAGUUCUUGUACUGGUUCGUGGUCAUGUGCCCAGGGCCUCUUGAAAUGUUGAAGCAUCUCCAUGCGAGACUUAACAAUUAGCCCCUUAGAAUCCACCAUCCAAAUUUUCUUGCGAGUCUCUUCUAGAGGGAUUCCAGUCUGCUUUGACAUCUCAAGAGCUAUGAGUUCAGCUAUACCUGUGCCAGCCUCUCCUGCUCCAAGGAAUAAGAAUGUAUGUUCAGACAAGCUUCCUCCAACCAAGUUUAAUGCGGCCAUCAGCCCAGCAAGGACCACGGAUGCUGUCCCCUGUAUGUCAUCAUUGAAAACAAGGUGGCUAGUUCCAUACUUUGCAAGGAGGUCAAAUGCAUUAUGAUUUGCAAAGUCUUCAAACUGAAUG
rnacentral:misc_RNA from 1 species